CAUUCUGCAAGAGCAAAGUAGAAGCGCAUAGCAUAUUUGUUACCUAAUUCAGAAGUCACACUGCUUACUUCCACCACAUAGGUUGAGGAUCCCUUAUCCAAAAUGCUUGGGGCCAGAAGUGUUUUGGAUUUUGGAUAUUUUGGGAUUAGCGAUACACAACAACCUGUACUAUAUUUGUCAAGACAAUCAUUAAAGCCUGCCCAGGAUUGAAGGGAGAGAACACAGAGGGAACACUCCUUAAAGGAGAGUAUGUGGGGUGGGAAACAUUAUGACCAUCUUUGGAAAACACAACCUGCUACCACAAAUAGCGGAACGCAAAAGAGAACUUGUGCAGGGAAACUCCCAUUUAUAAAACCAUCAGAUCUUUUGAGACUUAUGUGCUACCAUGAGAACAGUAUGGGAGAAACCACCCCUAUGAUUCAAUUAUUAGCGGGGCCUCGGUCAGCAGCACCACCUGCUCCUCCAGGGCCACGCACAGCUCGUUGUAGAAAACAUGGUGCCAGAUCUUCUCCAUGUCGUCCCAGUUUGUGACGAUGCCAUGCUUGAUGGGGUACUUCAGGGUCAGGAUGCCGCACUUGCUCUGGGCCUGGUCGCCCACGUAGGAGUCCUUCUGGCCCAUGCCCACCAUCACGCCCUGGUGCCGGGGGUGCCCGAUGAUGGAGGGGAAUAUGGCUCGGAGGGCAUUGUCCCAGC
rnacentral:lncRNA from 10 species